UUUGGGCACGCUUUUCAUCAUGACGUGAAAAUACUGCUCCCUAGCCUUAAGAAGUUUAAAACCUCCAUCACAUGUGCGCAUCAUACGGCUUUGUUUACAAACCAUAAAUAGCUCAAGUAGAACGUGGCAGAACGAUACUGACAACUCAACUUUUCAUCUGUGUUGUAACUUAUAGCUAGCAAGCUACUUACCAUCAUGCCGGAAAAAACACACUGUGUUGUGACUGGAUGCCAUAGUGAUAAUUUAACAUUACACUAUUUCCUGAAGAAUGAAGACAUCCGUAAGCAGUGGCUGAUUUUCAUUUCGGGUGGACAGGAUCAUAACACCCAUGUGCAGUGCACAUUUAGAGCGAAGUUGCUUUAUAAAUUGGGGAGAACAUUUGAUGUGUCUUGCCAGGAAGCUAAUCAUGAAGAUGGAUGCUGAACCAUCAUUGACAGUGGAUCAGUUUAUCUUGCAAGCACUGACCAUAAUGUAAGUAUGAGUCUGACACGGUGGCUGUAACUGUGGAUACUUUGACGGUAUAUUUUCUGCAACACAGCUGAUUGUCACUAUAUGGUUUUUGUUCUUCCAUCCCUAAGCCCCCUACAUUGAGUCUGAGAACUGACAGCAAACAGCUGAUAUGAAGGAAUGUUGUCCACAAAAGGAGUUCUGGCAACCAACGCAGCAGGAAUGCCAUGAUACAAAAUCAGCUUUCCCAAGACAAAGGGGCCUGUGAAGACAGAAAAAAGAAGGGGGAUAUGCUGUAGAGCCUGUGAAGACAGAUAAAGUGAAGACAGACCAAAGAAGGGGGGAUAUGCUGUAGAGCCUGUGAAGACAGAUCAAGUGAAGACAGACCAAAGAAGGGGGGAUAUGCUGUGAAGCCUGUGAAGACAGAUCAAGUGAAGACAGACCAAAGAAGGGGGAUAUGCUGUAAAGCCUGUGAAGACAGAUCAAGUGAAGACAAACCAAAGAAGGGGGAUAUGCUGUGAAGCCUGUGAAGACAGAUCAAGUGAAGACAAACCAAA